CAAUCCCGACACGGGGAGGUAGUGACAAUAAAUACUGAUACAGGGCUCUUUUGGGUCUUGUAAUUGGAAUGAGUACAAUUUAAACCUCUUAACGAGGAACAAUUGGAGGGCAAGUCUGGUGCCAGCAGCCGCGGUAAUUCCAGCUCCAAUAGCGUAUAUUAAAGUUGUUGCAGUUAAAAAGCUCGUAGUUGAAACUUGGGCCUGGCUGGCGGGUCCGCCUCACCGCGUGCACUCGUCCGGCCGGGCCUUCCUUCUGAAGAACCUCAUGCCCUUCACUGGGCGUGCUGGGGAAUCAGGACUUUUACUUUGAAAAAAUUAGAGUGUUCAAAGCAGGCCUUUGCUCGAAUACGUUAGCAUGGAAUAAUAAAAUAGGGCGUGCGUUUCUAUUUUGUUGGUUUCUAGAGACGCCGCAAUGAUUAACAGGAACAGUCGGGGGCAUCAGUAUUCAGUUGUCAGAGGUGAAAUUCUUGGAUUUACUGAAGACUAACUACUGCGAAAGCAUUUGCCAAGGAUGUUUUCAUUAAUCAGUGAACGAAAGUUAGGGGAUCGAAGACGAUCAGAUACCGUCGUAGUCUUAACCGUAAACUAUGCCGACUAGGGAUCGGGCGAUGUUCUUUUUCUGACUCGCUCGGCACCUUACGAGAAAUCAAAGUUUUUGGGUUCUGUAGUCUUUUCACUAGCC
rnacentral:rRNA from 1 species